GGGGUUAGUGGCGGACGGGUGAGUAACGCGUGAGAAUCUGCCCUCAGGAGGGGGAUAACGGUUGGAAACGACCGCUAAUACCCCAUAUGCCGCGAGGUGAAAUGAAUUUCGCCUGAGGAUGAGCUCGCGUCUGAUUAGCUAGUUGGUGGGGUAAGAGCCUACCAAGGCUUCGAUCAGUAGCUGGUCUGAGAGGAUGAUCAGCCACACUGGGACUGAGACACGGCCCAGACUCCUACGGGAGGCAGCAGUGGGGAAUUUUCCGCAAUGGGCGAAAGCCUGACGGAGCAACGCCGCGUGAGGGAUGAAGGCCUCUGGGCUGUAAACCUCUUUUAUCAAGGAAGAAGAUCUGACGGUACUUGAUGAAUAAGCCACGGCUAAUUCCGUGCCAGCAGCCGCGGUAAUACGGGAGUGGCAAGCGUUAUCCGGAAUUAUUGGGCGUAAAGCGUCCGCAGGCGGUCUUACAAGUCUGUCGUUAAAGCGUGGAGCUUAACUCCAUUUCGGCGAUGGAAACUGUAAGACUAGAGUGUGGUAGGGGCAGAGGGAAUUCCCGGUGUAGCGGUGAAAUGCGUAGAUAUCGGGAAGAACACCAGUGGCGAAGGCGCUCUGCUGGGCCAUAACUGACGCUCAUGGACGAAAGCUAGGGGAGCGAAAGGGAUUAGAUACCCCUGUAGUCCUAGCCGUAAACGAUGAACACUAGGUGUCGGGGGAAUCGACCCCCUCGGUGUCGUAGCCAACGCGUUAAGUGUUCCGCCUGGGGAGUACGCACGCAAGUGUGAAACUCAAAGGAAUUGACGGGGGCCCGCACAAGCGGUGGAGUAUGUGGUUUAAUUCGAUGCAACGCGAAGAACCUUACCAGGGUUUGACAUCCUGCGAAUCCCUUGGAAACUUGGGAGUGCCUUCGGGAGCGCAGUGACAGGUGGUGCAUGGCUGUCGUCAGCUCGUGUCGUGAGAUGUUGGGUUAAGUCCCGCAACGAGCGCAACCCACGUCUUUAGUUGCCAGCAUUUAGUUGGGCACUCUAGAGAGACCGCCGGUGAUAAACCGGAGGAAGGUGUGGAUGACGUCAAGUCAUCAUGCCCCUUACAUCCUGGGCUACACACGUACUACAAUGCUACGGACAAAGGGCAGCAAACUCGCGAGAGCUAGCCAAUCCCAUAAACCGUGGCUCAGUUCAGAUCGUAGGCUGCAACUCGCCUACGUGAAGGAGGAAUCGCUAGUAAUCGCAGGUCAGCAUACUGCGGUGAAUACGUUCCCGGGCCUUGUACACACCGCCCGUCACACCAUGGAAGUUGGCCACGCCCGAAGUCGUUACUCCAACCCUUGUGGAGGAGGAUGCCGAAGGUGGGGCUGAUGACUGGGGUGAAGUCGUAACAAGGUAGCCGUACCGGAAGGUGCGGCUGGAUCACCUCCUA
rnacentral:rRNA from 1 species